CCUCUUUAAAUUUUAUUUUUAUUUGAAUUUUGGGAUUUAGUUACUUAAAUUUUAAUCUGGUAGUAGUAGGUCUCGGUUUUUCAAGAAAGUAUAAAGAGAUGUUUUUUGAAAACACCACAUUUACGCAACACAUUUUGAAAGCUUCUGCAAUAAACACUGUUUUGAAAUUUAAUAACAAACUAAUAUAAUUAAUAUUUUGCUAAGACAACUUGAGUUUUCACAAUGAACCGGACAUCCA
rnacentral:lncRNA from 1 species